UACGAAGGGGGCUAGCGUUGCUCGGAAUCACUGGGCGUAAAGCGCACGUAGGCGGAUUGCUAAGUCAGGGGUGAAAUCCUGGAGCUCAACUCCAGAACUGCCUUUGAUACUGGUGAUCUUGAGUCCGGCAGAGGAAAGUGGAAUUCCCAGUGUAGCGGUGAAAUGCGUAGAUAUUGGGAGGAACACCAGUGGCGAAAGCGACUUUCUGGGCCAUUCCUGACGCUGAGGUACGAAAGCGUGGGGAGCAAACAGG
rnacentral:rRNA from 1 species